rnacentral:rRNA from 1 species
GUGCCAGCAGCCGCGGUAAUACGAAGGGUGCAAGCGUUACUCGGAAUUACUGGGCGUAAAGCGUGCGUAGGUGGUUGUUUAAGUCUGUUGUGAAAGCCCUGGGCUCAACCUGGGAAUUGCAGUGGAUACUGGGCGACUAGAGUGUGGUAGAGGGUAGUGGAAUUCCCGGUGUAGCAGUGAAAUGCGUAGAGAUCGGGAGGAACAUCCAUGGCGAAGGCAGCUACCUGGACCAACACUGACACUGAGGCACGAAAGCGUGGGGAGCAAACAGGAUUAGAUACCCUGGUAGUCC